GGAAUAAUACGAGGAAAUAAAAAGGAGCAAGUGCUCGGAACCUCGAAAGAAAAGAAAAAGUGAGACGAGAGGUAAAAAUGGACAAGUGUCCGACAGUAGAAUUAGGGGUGCAAGAUACCCACCUGAGAGAAAAGAAAAAGAAGAGCAUCUCAUUCUCCUCAUAAAGUUUCAAAAGCAAGGAAGGUAUGUAUCCCAUCAAAGAGCAAAAGUAGAAUUAGACUUCCACCACCAUUGUUUUCAUCAUUGUUAUCACCAUCAUCACCAUACACCAUUCAUUCGCCACACAUGCACAUCUUGAUUAAACUUAUUGACUUGUUACUUUGGAUCCAUGGUUUGGCUAUGCAAUAAAUGUCUUGUAAGUAUGUAUACUUUAUCUCCCACCUAUGAGCUCCAGAUAUUAAAGCCUUAUUAGAGUAGGGUGAGAGAAAAGGCAACGUAACUAUGCCUCAUACCACAAAUACCACAUAUAUUGAGAGAAGGCAUAUACCAUCACUGCCUUGGUAAGGAUCCAAAAAUACCACAAAAGAGAGACCUGAGAGAAUCAUACAAGGAAUCUCUGAGUUUUAUUUGAAAAUCUGCAAGAAACCCCAGAGCUAUAGCUGAUCAAGAAUAAGAGACAUGGCACUUGGCUAGACUAUUCUAUCUUUUAACCACUCAAGACAGAAGUGACGGUUACAAGUCCCAUGGUGGAGGUAAAGUAAGUAAGUUUUAAGUCUUGACAGUUUACUCUAACUGAGAGAUGAGAUCUUAUUUAAAAGCAUGUGUACCGUCAAAUUUUUAAAAGAUAUUGCAACUACUUCUGGUCCAUAGCUGAGUCUAUCCUUGCUCAGGGACGAGCAAGAGGUAAGCUUGGGGGAGUUUGUUGACGGUCCUUAAGUAUCAAAUUUAAUUAUCAAAUAAAUAAAGAAAAGGAUCCAAAUGAAAUCAAGAUCUAGACUUAGGGUUUUAUCUGACAGAAUUCCAUGAGUUUUGGUGUUUGUCUAUUUCUGCGGGGGGUUAUCAGGAAAUAUGGAAGAAAGGCCCACAUGUCAGGAUUACGUAAAGAUAUUAACGUGCUGCGCAAUUAUCUUACAUCUAGAAGACUCCAGAAGCCACAAGACUGAAGCGGAGGCGAAACGGGGCCAGACCCUGGGCGGCCGCCCAGUUGGUCAGGGCGCCCGCCCACCCCCUGUGUCCAAUCAGGACUCUGCUUUGCGGGAGAUCUCCACCGACCUAAAGGAUGAAUCUAAACCAUACAAUCUAUGUCGGUUUGAUCCAAGGGCCCAUAUUCACUUGAAGGGACUAUAAAACCAGACCCCCUGGCCCCUGGAGGAGAGAGCCUCUCAACCCUAAUUCAUUGUUUCAUCAAGGGAGAAGAAGCCUCUGAUCAAGAUUAGAGCCACAACAUCAAUUAGACAUCUAGAUUAGCAUAGCUACAUAGGAUUAGAACUAGAAGGAGUCAAUCUUCGAUUGGUUUCCGGAUCUGUCAAGAGGAUUCUUGGUAAUGCUCUAAUUGUGCUUCUAAUUACUUUCUAAUUAUCUUUGUUCUUCAAUAUUAUGAAUAUGACUUUGUUCUACUUCAAUAUAUUGCUUAUGACUUUGCUCUACUUGCUUAUAUUCAAGAUUAUAUUGUUCUUAGUUUAUCAUAGUUAUGUACUUGGCUUAGUUAGAUACGAUCUAUAUACAUGCUUAGGAUCGUAUAGCGUUUGUCCAUCGGAUCCAUGGGUAAAUGAUAGAUAUUGUGUAGGCGUGGUGCUUAUACCGUAUUUAUCUGCGAUUGUACCCAAUAUGCCAGAUCGUGGGGUAGUUCGUGAUAGUGACAGCUUCAUUGAUUCUUAUAUAGUCCCCCUCUCGUGUAUUGGGCUGGCAGAGCAACAUUAUUACAGGGGUGUGAUUGCUAUGUUUCUCAUAUUCCUUGCUAAUAUCACUAUGCAUGGGCGUAGUCUUGUCUCGCAAUGAUUGCUAAGUAUGCUUGCACUAACUAUGAUAAUGCUAGACUAUAUAGUUAAGAAUAACUUAGGGAAUAUUCUUGUAGUUCGUUCUAAUACCAUGCUAAUGACUUUCUAGAGUAUCUAAUUGAGGUGCUUAUCAUAUUUAUUAUGUGGCUAGAUCAGAUUAGUUAUCCUUGUCACUGUUAUUAUUUCAUAUAUCUUUUAUGUGACACUUAUCCCUGUAUGAAGAGUUAGAUAUAAUGUUCUCAAUUAUACAUGCAAUGAUAGAUGCUCAAUCUCAUAUUCUAUUCUGUAAUCAUUAGUGAUGAUUUCUAAUCCCUUCUCAGUGGUAAAAAUAUAAAUAACGAUACCUGGAAUACUUCCCGGUUAAAAUGCUGCAUCGGUAUUAAUCUGUGCACUUGCAGAUCCCAUUCAUUAUUUAUUUAGAAGAGCAAUUGCAUAUUUCAAUACCGCGUCUCUCAUAUCAUGCUGGGGAUGACAACUUGGCUUAAGUGGUGUGAGGGAUAGGUUUGGCAUUUUUGGCACCGUUACUAGAUUUAGAGAACUUAGUCUACUUUUGGUAAUGAUGUUAAGAAUACCCAACAGUAGACAUGUUGUCUGCAAAGCUAGACCUGCUCAUGAAGAAGCUCGAUGAUAGAGCUGGAGACAAGAAAGAAGUUAUGCACAUCUACGACUCUCACAUGACUUGUGAGGAGUGUGGAGACACUGGACACUCAGGCAACCACUGCCCUGAGAUACUUGAGGAUGUGAACUACAUCAACAACAACAACAACAACUACUACAACCGUCCUCAACAAAAUCAAGGUUGGAAUCAACAGAGGCCUAACUACUUAGGUAAUUAUCAAGGUAACAAUUCUUAUAACAACAAUAGUAAUUUUCCACCUUUGAGAGAGUUAGUGUCUAAUCAAGGAAAGCUAAUGGAUAACCUAUCUAAGAAAUUGGCAUCUAAUGAUAAAAUGCUAGAAAAUAUAAAUAAUAGAAUGGAUAAUUUUUCUACUGCCAUCAAGAAUCAAAUUAGCUUUAAUAAAAUGAUUGAAUCUCAGUUAAAUCAAAUAGCUGCUGCUGUUCCUACUACUAACCCCGGUAUACCAUCACAACCGGAAGGAUUAGAAUCUGCAAAUCUUGUAGACGUGUUUGAUGCAGGUAAUUGGAGUAACCCCGUCACUGAAUUUUCUACUGACCGUCUGCCGGUCAAGAGAGGCGAUCCAGGACGCCCCGUCAUCCCGAUCUCCAUCGGCAUGGUGGACUUCCCAGAAGCACUCUGUGACUUUGGCUCUAGCGUCAACAUUAUACCCAGGGUACUCUAUGAAAAAUUCUUUACAUAUCCUUUAUUAGAGACAACCAUGUGUUUGCAGUUUGUAGAUCAGACGAUAACUUUUCCAAAAGGAAUAGUGAAGAACCUUUGUGUCCGAGUUGGUACCUUAUAUGCCCCAGCAGACUUCGUAGUGGUAGAGACCGGAAAUGAUGAGAGAGCACCUAUCAUCCUAGGGAGGCAAUUCUUGAACACCACAGGAGCUAUCAUCUACGCCAGUGCUGCCAAGAUCAGUUUCUACGUCAAAGGGAAGAAGGAGACAUUUUUCUUCAAGAACAAGACUACACAAAUUCCAAAUCAAUCCAGACGUGAAUCAAGAAAGAGGACCAACAGGAGGAACAGGGACAAGCAAGUGUGGACCGAGUCAGCUAAGAUGGUCACUGUAGUUCAUGGAGGUCAAGAUCACCAACUUAAGUCACCGUUUUUGACCAAGAAGGACGACCCAGGAAUGCCAAGCAUCUACUGCUCCAUAAAUGGAUACAACUUCUACAAGACGAUUUGCGACACCGGAUCGGGCGUCAACAUAAUGGCCGCAGUCACUUAUCGGCUCUUGUUCGGGACCAUGCCACUAAGACCAACAUACAUUCAACUCCAGAUGGCAGAUCAGACAUUUCGAGAAGUUCAAGGAAUAGUAUCUGAUGUCCCAGUCAAAAUAGACGAUCACUUUGUCUACACAGACUUUCAAGUUGUUGACAUGGGAGAAGACGAGUAUGAUCCACCCAUCAUCCUUGGAAGACCGUUCCUCAGCACCGUUAAAGCAAUUAUCUACAUUGGAACUGGAGAAGUCCAUAUGCACUUCCCCUCAGAGAAGGUACGCCGUUAUUUUACUGACCCUAACUAUAUCAUUGAAGAAUCUAAGCAGGUAAGAAAGCGACGCAACCGCAACCAGAGGAGGCAGAUCAUCAAGGACGGAUGGGCAGACUAUGAAGGAGAUGUUGUAAGGUCAGAAGACAUAGAGUUUAAACAGAAUUAUCCAGAGGAGAUUGAAGCACCGAGUCAGGUAUGGAAAAUGAAGAUAACUGUACAAGAAGAGGAGGCGCUGCCGGAAGUACCGACUACGCCACCCAACGAACCUCAGGACGAUUAAGAAAAUGGAGAGUCCCGUUCGGAGGACUUAAAAACACCAACGCCUUGCCAAGAGGUAAACUUGGUAGUUAUCAUUUCCCUUUCAAUUAUUUCAAAUAGUUUACUUAGUUAAUCAUAUUCACACUAUCUUAAAAAGAAAAUAAAAAUGUUAAAAACAGUAAGCCCCAUGUGAGUAGACGAGUGGCAUGAAACCCAUAGGUACAUUCACUGUGGUGGCAUAAAAAUAAAAUAAAUAUUUUUCUGCUUUAUAAAAACAAAAAUAUAAAAACAGGGAGUAAUAAUUAUUAGGAGUCUCAACAUGAUAAAGGCUAGAUAUUUAUGCUAACACUUAAUCAGUUCCACAAGCUUUGUUGUCUAUUUGAGCUCCACAGAAUUUAAGAAUCAAGAAGACUAGCAGACGGAGGACAUCCUAAUCGCUGUCAGAAUGCUGCUGACUUUCAAAUACACCUCUGCCACCUGCUAGCUACACCAAGAGAAAUUACGUCAAAAUUCAGCUUGGGGGAGAGCACCCCCAUUUAUCUAGAUAAGUAUUUCUAUCUAUCUUUAUACUUAUAUUAUUUUAGAAUAUAAAUAACUAUGAAAAAACCAAAUAAACAUUUUAUGCUUAUAUAUAUGCCUUUUGCUUAGUGUGUUUAAUAAAUAAAUAAAGUGGCUAUGCUAAUCUGUAUCUAAAUAAAACUUAAGCAUGGAUAUGAUAAAUAGUUGCUCUGCCUAAUUUGCAAAUUUUAAGUUCUCUCUCAAGUUUAGAUAUAACUGUUAUAAUUUAAAUAUUGCUCUAGACCUAAACUUGUGGGAUGAAAACUUGAUCUGAAGUCUAAGUUGUUAACGGAUAUGAUAUGGGAAGGUUGAGCUGCUGUUUAUCUGUUCCUAGAGAUGCUAGAAUUCUGGAGAAUUUUAUCUUUGAAAAUCUUUAAAAUCUUGCAUGAUGAGUUCCUGUAUGAUGAGAGCUUAAAUUCCUACCACAGCCAUAUAUGCAUGCUUGCUAGACUUUGAGCCACACAUUUAUUAUUUACUGCUUAUGAGCAUUAAGUGUGGUCAAGCUGUGUAGACCCUUAGGAGCUUGUCUUGUGGUUAAAUCAAGAUUUCACUUGCACGUCCACUCAUAUAUGCUACUUCUACUCCGGAAGUACCAUCCACAUAUAUCCAUCCAUUUCCAUCUCCAGAAUCACCCAAAAAUAUUCUACUCCUAAUCCGGGAGAGAAUAACCAAAAAUAUUUCUGUUUUUCCCUUGUGAAAUAAAUGCUCAAGUUAUCUUGUUACUACCACUUGCUAUAUUAUCUCAUGAGAUGAGUGCUCUAAAAAAAAGAGAUACGAGGAAAUAAAAAGGAGCAAGUGCUCGGAACCUCGAAAGAAAAAAAAAGAAAAGAAAAAGUGAGACGAGAGGUAAAAAUGGACAAGUGUCCGACAGUAGAAUUAGGGGUACAAGAUACCCACCUGAGAGACAAGAAAAAGAUAGAGCAUCUCAUUCUCAUCAUAAAGUUUCAAAAGCAAGGAAGGUAUGUAUCCCCUCAAAAGAGCAAAGUAGAAUUAGACUUCCACCCCCAUUGUUUCCACCAUUGUUAUCACCAUACACCAUUCAUUCGCCACACAUGCACAUUUUGAUUUGGCUUAUUGAUUUGUUUCUUUGGAUCCAUGGUUUGACUAUGCAAUAAAUGUCUUGUAAGUAUGUAUACUUUAUCUCCCACCUAUGAACUCCAGAUAUUAAAGCCUUAUUAGAGUAGGGUGAGAGAAAAGGCAAUGUCACUAUGCCUCAUACCACAAAUACUACAUAUCUUGAGAGAAGGCAUAUACCAUCAAUGCCUUGGUAAGGAUCCAAAAAUACCACAAAAGAGAGACCUGAGAGAAUCAUACAAGGAAUUUCUGAGUUUUAUUUGAAAAUCUGCAAAAACUCUAGAGCUAUAGCUGAUCAAGAAUAAGAGACAUAGCACUUGGCUAGACUAUUCUAUCUUUUAACUACUCAAGACAGAAGUGACAGUUACAAGUCCCAUGGUGAAGGUAAAGUAAGUAAGUUUUAAGUCUCGACAGUUUACUCUCACUCAGAGAUGAGAUCUUAUUUAAAAAGCAUGUGUACCGUCAAAUUUUAAAGAUAUUGCAACUACUUCUGGUCCAUAGCUGAGUCUAUCCUUGCUCAGGGACGAGCAAGAGGUAAGCUUGGGGGAGUUUGUUGACGGUCCUUAAGUAUCAAAUUUAAUUAUCAAAUAAAUAAAGAAAAGGAUCCAAAUGAAAUCAAGAUCUAGACUUAGGGUUUUAUCUGACAGAAUUCCACGAGUUUUGGUGUUUGUCUAUUUCUGCAGGGGGUUAUCAGGAAAUACGGAAGAAAGGCCCACAUGUCAGGAUUACGUAAAGAUAUUAACGUGCUGCGCAAUUAUCUUACAUCUAGAAGACUCCAGAAGCCACGAGACCGAAGCGGAGGCGAAACAGGGCCAGAGGCAGGGCGCCCGCCCUGUCCUACUGGGCGCCCGCCCCCUGUUGGAGUCCAAACAGGACUCUGCUUUGCGGCAAGUCUCCACCGACCUAAAGGAUGAAUCUAAACCAUACAAUCUAUGUCGGUUUGAUCCAAGGGCCCAUAUUCACUUGAAGGGACUAUAAAACCAGACCCCCUGGCCCCUGGAGGAGAGAGCCUCUCGACCCUAAUUUAUUGUUCCAUCAAGGGAGAAGAAGCCUCU
rnacentral:lncRNA from 1 species